rnacentral:tRNA from 1 species
GGAGAGAUGCAGGAGUGGCUUAACUGGCUCGCCUGGAAAGCGAGUAUACCCCACAAGGGUAUCGGGGGUUCGAAUCCCCCUCUCUCCGCCA